rnacentral:rRNA from 1 species
AGGCGACGAUGCGUAGCCGACCUGAGAGGGUGACCGGCCACACUGGGACUGAGACACGGCCCAGACUCCUACGGGAGGCAGCAGUAGGGAAUUUUCGGCAAUGGGGGAAACCCUGACCGAGCAACGCCGCGUGAAGGAAGAAGUAAUUCGUUAUGUAAACUUCUGUCAUAGAGGAAGAACGGUGGAUAUAGGGAAUGAUAUCCAAGUGACGGUACUCUAUAAGAAAGCCACGGCUAACUACGUGCCAGCAGCCGCGGUAAUACGUAGGUGGCGAGCGUUAUCCGGAAUUAUUGGGCGUAAAGAGGGAGCAGGCGGCACUAAGGGUCUGUGGUGAAAGAUCGAAGCUUAACUUCGGUAAGCCAUGGAAACCGUAGAGCUAGAGUGUGUGAGAGGAUCGUGGAAUUCCAUGUGUAGCGGUGAAAUGCGUAGAUAUAUGGAGGAACACCAGUGGCGAAGGCGACGAUCUGGCGCAUAACUGACGCUCAGUCCCGAAAGCGUGGGGAGCAAAUAGGAUUAGAUACCCUAGUAGUCCACGCCGUAAACGAUGAGUACUAAGUGUUGGGGGUCAAACCUCAGUGCUGCAGUUAACGCAAUAAGUACUCCGCCUGAGUAGUACGUUCGCAAGAAUGAAACUCAAAGGAAUUGACGGGGGCCCGCACAAGCGGUGGAGCAUGUGGUUUAAUUCGAAACAACGCGAAGAACCUUACCAGGUCUUGACAUCGAUCUAAAGGCUCCAGAGAUGGAGAGAUAGCUAUAGAGAAGACAGGUGGUGCAUGGUUGUCGUCAGCUCGUGUCGUGAGAUGUUGGGUUAAGUCCCGCAACGAGCGCAACCCCUGUUGCCAGUUGCCAGCAUUAAGUUGGGGACUCUGGCGAGACUGCCGGUGACAAGCCGGAGGAAGGCGGGGAUGACGUCAAAUCAUCAUGCCCCUUAUGACCUGGGCUACACACGUGCUACAAUGGACAGAGCAGAGGGAAGCGAAGCCGCGAGGUGGAGCGAAACCCAUAAAACUGUUCUCAGUUCGGACUGCAGUCUGCAACUCGACUGCACGAAGAUGGAAUCGCUAGUAAUCGCGAAUCAGCAUGUCGCGGUGAAUACGUUCUCGGGCCUUGUACACACCGCCCGUCACACCAUGAGAGUCGGUAACACCCGAAGCCGGUGGCCUAACCGCAAGGAAGGAGCUGUCUAAGGUGGGACUGAUGAUUGGGGUGAAGUCGGAACAAGUA